rnacentral:rRNA from 1 species
AUUGAACGCUGGCGGCAUGCCUUACACAUGCAAGUCGAACGGCAGCGGGCCUUCGGGUGCCGGCGAGUGGCGAACGGGUGAGUAAUGCAUCGGAACGUGCCAUUGAGUGGGGGAUAACGUAGCGAAAGUUACGCUAAUACCGCAUAUUCUGUGAGCAGGAAAGCAGGGGGACCGCAAGGCCUUGCGCUCUUUGAGCGGCCGAUGUCAGAUUAGCUAGUUGGUGAGGUAAAGGCUUACCAAGGCGACGAUCUGUAGCGGGUCUGAGAGGAUGAUCCGCCACACUGGAACUGAGACACGGUCCAGACUCCUACGGGAG